AGGGAGCUGGAGGAAACGAGUGGUAUGGAUCACACACCUGAGGGUAGUUUUACUAAUGAGUGUUCUCUGUGGCAGUGAGAAGCAAAGAUGAAAAUACAAAGGGAUCGAAGCCAAGAGAGAGAGUGAGAGAGAAAGAGAUGGAAAUACAAAGCAGUGUGUAUGACUGUGUGUCUAUGUGCUUAAAACACUGAGAAAUAUUUGGCUCCUGCGGACUUCACCCUCCUCCUGAAGAUAAAGAUCCAGUUUAAAUCGCAGAAGGCACCUGACACACUUAGAAAAGAAGACUUCCAGGACACAUUCCAGAAGUGGCAGGAACGCUGGGAGCGCUGUAUUACUAUGCAAUGGGGACUAUUUUAAACGUGAUGGUAUAAAAACGUAGAUAAAUAAAAAACUUUCUUGUAAACAGAA